CGGCGUCGUACCGUAUGGACAUCCUCGUAUUCUUCAGCUUAUCCUCUUGCCGAAAUGCAGCAAAAGCGCAAUUUCUGCACAAUUGUUACCAGAUGCGCCGCCGUUUGGAUCCUUAGCGUUCGUCUGAUGCAGGAAAUUACGUUCUUUCGAAAUCGCAAGAUUUUAAUCAUCACGUACGACAGGAACGGUUCUCACGCUCGAUUGAUUAUACGAUUGUGAUACAUAAGACGACGAAUUAAAAUGAAGGAAAGGACAAGGGGAAGGCGGCUAGAGACAAGAGGAAGUAACUACACCUGCGAAACCUCACAUGUAAUUAAAUAGAUCGUUGUCGUUGGGUACUUUCCGACGUUGCUUUGUACUCAUUGUCAGUCACCGUUGUAAGUACUAGUGUAUUCCCGCUACUUAUGUAG